AGAACUCUGCCCGCAGAAAACUUCUUCAACCUGGACCGAGUGAGGGAAAAGUGGGAGGAAAAACCGGAGGAGAGAAAACAGGAUCCAAAACAGGAGGAGGAGUUCCUGCUGCUCUCUCACCGACGAACCUCAUCACGACAGUGUUCAGACUGAGAGAAGAGAUGAAUUGAGAGGAGGAGCAGAGAACCAAGAUUCAGGAGGAGAAGGAGGAGCUGGAACUGUCCUGCGCUCAACUGAAGAGUGAUGUCAGGAUGUACCUUCAAAGAAACAAACAAAUCCUCGGACAGCUGGAGGAGGUGAUCAAAGAGAGGGACAAGGCUUUGGCAUCGCAGGCACAGCAGCAGGAGGAGGUCCGGAUGCUCCUGCGGGACAAGGAUCACUACAGGGAGCUGGUCAGGCAGC